GGGGUUGGGGCUCAGCGGUAGAGCGUUCACCUAGCAUGUGUGAGGCCCUGGGUUCGAUCCUCAGCACCACA
rnacentral:tRNA from 1 species